GACGAACGCUGGUGGCGUGCUUAACACAUGCAAGUCGAACGGGAUUUAGUAAACAGACGCCUCGGUGGAAGAUUACUAAUGAGAGUGGCGAACGGGUGAGUAACGCGUGAGCAACCUGCCUAUGACAGUGGGAUAGCCUCGGGAAACCGGGAUUAAUACCGCAUAAAAUCGUAGAAACACAUGUUUUAACGGUCAAAGAUUUAUCGGUCAUAGAUGGGCUCGCGUCUGAUUAGCUAGUUGGUGAGAUAACAGCCCACCAAGGCGACGAUCAGUAGCCGGUCUGAGAGGAUGAACGGCCACAGUGGAACUGAGACACGGUCCAAACUCCUACGGGAGGCAGCAGUGGGGAAUAUUGCACAAUGGGGGAAACCCUGAUGCAGCGACGCCGCGUGAACGAAGAAGGUAUUCGUAUCGUAAAGUUCUGUCCUAUGGGAAGAUAAUGACAGUACCAUAGAAGAAAGCUCCGGCUAAAUACGUG
rnacentral:rRNA from 1 species